GGACCCGACCGCUAUCGGGGUGGGGCUAACCCAUGGAAGUCUAGGAGCCGGGGGCACGGCCGGCUCCGGCGGACGGCUCAAUAACACGUGGCUAACCUACCCUUGGGAGGGGGAUAACCCCGGGAAACUGGGGAUAAUCCCCCAUAGGUGUGGACUUCUGGAAUGGGUCUACACCGAAAGGGCUAUGGGACCAUCCCUGCCGUAGCCGCCCGAGGAUGGGGCUGCGGCCUAUCAGGUAGUUGGCGGGGUAACGGCCCGCCAAGCCUAUAACGGGUAGGGGCCGUGAGAGCGGGAGCCCCGAGAUGGGCACUGAGACAAGGGCCCAGGCCCUACGGGGUGCACCAGGGGCGAAACUUCCGCAAUGCGGGAAACCGUGACGGAGUCACCCCGAGUGCCACCCGAUGAGGGUGGCUUUUGCCCGGUCUAAAAAGCCGGGCGAAUAAGCGGGGGGCAAGCUUGGUGUCAGCCGCCGCGGUAAUACCAACCCCGCGAGUGGUCGGGACGUUUAUUGGGCCUAAAGCGUCCGUAGCCGGCCCGGUAAGUCCCUCCUUAAAGCCCACGGCUCAACCGUGGGAGCGGAGGGAUACUGCCGGGCUAGGGGGCGGGAGAGGCCGGGGGUACUCCUGGGGUAGGGGCGAAAUCCUAUAAUCCCAGGAGGACCACCAGUGGCGAAGGCGCCCGGCUAGCACGCGCCCGACGGUGAGGGACGAAAGCUGGGGGAGCAAAAGGGAUUAGACACCCCCGUAGUCCCAGCUGUAAACAA
rnacentral:rRNA from 1 species